rnacentral:rRNA from 1 species
AUUGAACGCUGGCGGCAGGCUUAACACAUGCAAGUCGAACGAGUGGCGGACGGGUGAGUAAUGCUUGGGAAUCUAGCUUAUGGAGGGGGAUAACUACGGGAAACCGUAGCUAAUACCGCGUACCAUAGGAUGAGCCCAAGUGGGAUUAGCUUGUGGGUGAGGUAACGGCUCACCUAGGCGACGAUCCCUAGCUGGUCUGAGAGGAUGAUCAGCCACACUGGGACUGAGACACGGCCCAGACUCCUACGGGAGGCAGCAGUGGGGAAUAUUGCACAAUGGGCGAAAGCCUGAUGCAGCCAUGCCGCGUGUAUGAAGAAGGCCUUCGGGUUGUAAAGUUCUUUCGGUAGCGAGGCGUUAACUACAGAAGAAGCACCGGCUAACUCCGUGCCAGCAGCCGCGGUAAUAC